rnacentral:rRNA from 1 species
AAUAGAUACCCUGGUAGUCCACGCCGUAAACGAUGAGUGCUAAGUGUUAGAGGGUUUCCGCCCUUUAGUGCUGCAGCUAACGCAUUAAGCACUCCGCCUGGGGAGUACGGCCGCAAGGCUGAAACUCAAAGGAAUUGACGGGGGCCCGCACAAGCGGUGGAGCAUGUGGUUUAAUUCGAAGCAACGCGAAGAACCUUACCAGGUCUUGACAUCCUCUGCCAACCCUAGAGAUAGGGCGUUCCCCUUCGGGGGACAGAGUGACAGGUGGUGCAUGGUUGUCGUCAGCUCGUGUCGUGAGAUGUUGGGUUAAGUCCCGCAACGAGCGCAACCCUUGAUCUUAGUUGCCAGCAUUCAGUUGGGCACUCUAAGGUGACUGCCGGUGACAGACCGGAGGAAGGUGGGGAUGACGUCAAAUCAUCAUGCCCCUUAUGACCUGGGCUACACACGUGCUACAAUGGAUGGUACAAAGAGCUGCGAACCCGCGAGGGUAAGCCAAUCUCAUAAAGCCAUUCUCAGUUCGGAUUGGU